AAGCGGUGGAGCAUGUGGCUUAAUUCGAGGCUACGCGAAGAACCUUAUCCUGGACUUGACAUGUGCGAAAGCGUCGGGGGGUAGCAUCCCGGAAACGGGGUGCGAAGGUAUCCAAUCCUGAACCCGAUACAGGUGCUGCAUGGCUGUCGUCAGCUCGUGUCGUGAGAUGUCGCGUUAAGUCGCAUAACGAGCGAAACCCUUACCUUUAGUUGCUACCAUUCAGUUGGGCACUCUAGAGGGACUGCCGGUGUUAAACCGGAGGAAGGUGGGGAUG
rnacentral:rRNA from 1 species